GGUAAAAUGGCUGAUAAUAGGCGAUAAACUGUAAAUUUAUUUAUGGGAAUUUAUUCUCUUUUACCA
rnacentral:tRNA from 1 species